AAUAAAAAACUCAUAAUGACAAUAAAAACUUAAGAAUAUAAGGGAUAUAUACUUGACCAUCUUUUGUGAGAAAAAAAAAAUCAUGCAAAUCUAAUACCAUCUCUAAAAAUUAAUAGUUUAAUCAAGUUGAACAAUUGCAACCUAUCCAGAAACUAAAUAGUGCUACAUUUUUUAUAAUUAAAUAGCUAUAGCCCAUAAAUAGUUUCCAAAAAGGAAUACAAAAAUCUUCAAAAAAGACUUACCAGCCUGCUAACAGCCAUUUAAACAUCAUUAUAAAAUGUAACAAGUGCUUUUAAAAUAAAAAGCAGUAACUCAACAGUGAAAAUCAGGUCAAUGACAUGUACAUAUGACAGACAUUUAUAACUUCGUAACAUUAUAUAUCUGCAUAAAAAAAAAUGUAAAAAGCAUUCAAUUCUUUAACUUUAAAAUAACUAUAGGCUCUAAAGAGCCUGUGUUGUUGACCUUAGUCUAAGUGCAUAUUCUACAGAGGACACAUACUCUCCAACAUUGCUCUUGUCAGAUUAUCUCAAUUCAUUACAGUUAAUAACUAAAUAAUAGACAAAAUUGCAUUUUACACUGUGUAUUAUUUUUUUACCAUGUCUGCCAUCUUCAUUGGCAGGCGGACAGGGUCAGAGUACAUAUUUUACAAAAAAAAUACAUACUCCAAUUAUUAUUGUAGCCAUGUCUGGUAAAAUUUUACCUACAAGUUUCAGAUUAUAUUUUUGUUAAAGUAAACCAUGUAAAUAGACAAUUUUAAAUGAACAUUGUAUAAAUUCAAUUUAUAUUCAACUAAAGAUUUCUUGCUGUUGUGCAAUACACUGUGCUGUUGCGCAAUACUAAGUAUGCUGUUGGGCAAUACUUAGUAAAUCUUUUGUCAGUUUGACACAUUCCCCA
rnacentral:lncRNA from 1 species